AACUAAAAUCAUACCAGCACUAAUGCACCGGAUCCCAUCAGAACUCCGCAGUUAAGCGUACUUGGGCGAGAGUACUACUAUGAUGGAUGACCCCCUGGGAAGUCCUCAUGUUGCAACCCC
rnacentral:rRNA from 1 species